rnacentral:rRNA from 1 species
AGCGGCGAACGGGUGAGUAACACGUGAGCAACCUGCCCCACAGACCGGGAUAGCCCAGGGAAACCUGGAUUAAUACCGGAUACCCUCUCAAGACCUCCUGGUCAUGAGAGGAAAAGCCUUUGUGCUGUGGGAUGGGCUCGCGGCUUAUCAGCUAGUUGGUGGGGUAACGGCCUACCAAGGCAUCGACGAGUAGCUGGUCUGAGAGGACGAUCAGCCACACUGGAACUGAGACACGGUCCAGACUCCUACGGGAGGCAGCAGCAGGGAAUCUUGCGCAAUGGGCGAAAGCCUGACGCAGCGACACCGCGUGGGGGAUGAAGGCCUUCGGGUUGUAAACCCCUUUCAGGAGGGAAGAAAUUGACGGUACCUCCAAAAGAAGGACCGGCCAACUACGUGCCAGCAGCCGCGGUAAUACGUAGGGUCCUAGCGUUAUCCGGAAUCAUUGGGCGUAAAGAGCUCGUAGGCGGUUCAGCAAGUCGGCUGUGAAAGUCCGAGGCUCAACCUCGGAAUUGCAGUCGAUACUGCUGUGACUUGAAUUCGGUAGAGGAGAAUGGAAUUCCCGGUGUAGCGGUGAAAUGCGCAGAUAUCGGGAGGAACACCAGUAGCGAAGGCGGUUCUCUGGGCCGAUAUUGACGCUGAGGAGCGAAAGCGUGGGGAGCAAACAGGAUUAGAUACCCUGGUAGUCCACGCCGUAAACGUUGGAUACUAGGUGUGGCGGUCUUACCAACGACUGCCGUGCCGAAGCUAACGCAUUAAGUAUCCCGCCUGGGGAGUACGGCCGCAAGGCUAAAACUCAAAU